GUCUUUGCAGUUUUGGAGGCAGCCACUCUACCAGGAGUGUGAAUCCUAUGUGUCUCUGUGUUGUAGGCUUUGUGGGAUGGCAGACUGCAGGAGGGCUCUUGGGAACAGCACUGUGGAUGUGUUCCUCAGGAGAGUGAAGGCUGACCGAGCCCCCAGGGAUUUUUGGCAGCGAUGAGUUGAGUGGUUUUCAUGGAGGGAGAAGGAAGGAGUGGGCAUCAGCAGUGGCCACCUAAAGGAGGCUGGAUGGCCUGGAGUGGAGUUCUGUGGAUGGCAGACUUACACAAGACUGCAAGCCCACACCAAAGAGCCCCCCCCAACACCCUUCGCCACCACGCCAACAUCAUUGCUAAGUCCGCUCGAGCCACACGGCAAGACGACGGAUGCCAUCUCUCCGAGGAUGCCUUCUUGCCCGCUCCCUUUUGCUGGAUAAGUCCUCGCUGCUGCUCCUUCAGUCAUAUGGAUACAUUCUCUAGUCUCUCCAUGAGGAAGCUGUGAAUGCUG